rfam:Frankia symbiont of Datisca glomerata, complete genome.
CUUCAGCGAGCCCAGCCAGCAGGGCUGCUCCGCCGGCCGCUGCUGGCCGUAGGUGGCCAGCAGCGCCUGGGCCUC